AUGUGGGAAACCACGAUGCGGGAAACCCAAGUGCCAGCACUAAGUGUUGGCUGUCCUCCAGUGUUCGUAACUGGGGAAGAAAGUGCUGGGUAAGACGGGUGCCAGCCGCCGCGGUAAUACCCGCAGCACAAGUGGUGGUCAUUAUUAUUGGGCCUAAAGCGUCCGUAGCUGGCUUGUUAGAUGCCUGGGUAAAUCGAAACGCUCAACGUUUCGAAUUCCGGGUAGACCGGCAAGCUCGAGACCGGGAGAGGUGUAGGCUACUCGGGGGGUAGGGGUAAAAUCCUGUAAUCCUCCGGGGAGGACCAGUGGCGAAGGCGCUACACUAGAACGGCUCUGACAGUGAGGGACGAAGCCCUGGGGCGCAAACCGGAUUAGAUACCCCGGUAGUCC
rnacentral:rRNA from 1 species